AUUCUUACCUGGCAGGGGAAAUACCAUGGUUACUCAGGUGGUUUUCCCAGGUAAGCGCAUCCACUGCACUGCAGGUGAGCUGACCUCGGCAGUUUCCCCAGAUGUGAGGAACUCAGUUGCAUGGUUAGUGGCAGUGGAGGACUGUGAUCAUGCUUUUCCU